UCUUCAUUUCCCACACUCUCUCACCGGUCAGACGCGAGAGAGUGUGUGAAAUGAAGAGA
rfam:Pristionchus pacificus strain PS312 contig7545, whole genome shotgun sequence.